rnacentral:lncRNA from 1 species
GGAUUUGCAGGUGGUACUUUUUUUACUUUAAAGAAUAGCCUGAGUCUUGAAGAAGAAAGCUGAUCAUCGUUCUCUGUGUAUGGUGGACAUCCGUUUCAACUUGACAACCCAUUUUACUUCUAUCUUCUCUUUCUUACCAAACGUUUUGAGUUAAGGUUCGGGUUUAACUGAGCAACGUUAGAAAGAGAAUAUACACUGAAGAAGCUUGAAACUUCGGUUACGGAGGAAGAGAGAAACAGGAGACUGUAGUGUGAAGCAGGAAGCGUUAAUUAUUCGAAUGAAAUUUUUUAAUAUUAUCAUUUUUAAUACUUCGGUUAUAAUCAAUUAUAAUAAAUGAUGUCAAUGUAUAUGAAUUACAAAAAUUGAUGUUACUAUUUAUAUAUGUUCUCCCUUCUGGUUCGAUUCCAUCAAAACUGAGCAACAUACUCGUGAAAAGCUUUGCAGUCAAGUCGGACUCAUGCACCUCAACUUUCAUCCCUC